AAAAUCUAGCGGAUUUUCAGUGAAUGUGUAUAUUAGAGAGAACUUCAAUCAAAAGGAUACACGUUUGUAUACGUAGCUGUAAAGGUUCAUCGAACUUCGCUGUGCAUACGAAUUCUCGGCCAAUAAUAAAGAUGUAUGUAUAGGUGUGGCGGUGAUUGGCUUGUUUCCUCGGCCUACACUUUGUCAACGGGAGCAACAACUUCGACGGUACCGAAGAGAACACCAGACAACCCACACACAUAACACCCGCGUAAACGAUUCAACGGGUCGCGUGGUAACCUUUAUUAUCUCCUAUCUUUCUUCUUGAACGCCCUCUAAACAGACUACAACUAUCUCGUGUAACCAUACAUACACAUAACAUUUCUAAAUUAUCUACAUAAAUUAAAUCUACAUUUAAUCUAAUUUUAAAAAUUACGUUAAUUUUCAUAAAAAUUCUCACAUUUUUUUAUACAUAUAAAGUUCUAAAAUAUGAUAUAACCUCAUUAUAAUCGCACCUGCACAUAGAUAUCCAAUUUUAUGGUUCGAUAGUUAUAGUAGCAAUAUCAACUAUAAAUAAAUGUCCACUGUGACGAGGGAACGAACCGACCGAAAAAAA